AAUAAGCGGAGGAAAAGAAACCAACAGGGAUUGCCUUAGUAACGGCGAGUGAAGCGGCAAAAGCUCAAAUUUGAAAUCUGGCACCUUCGGUGUCCGAGUUGUAAUUUGAAGAAGGUAACUUUGGGAUUGGCUCUUGUCUAAGUUCCUUGGAACAGGACGUCACAGAGGGUGAGAAUCCCGUGCGAUGAGAUGACCAAUCCUAUGUAAAGUGCUUUCGAAGAGUCGAGUUGUUUGGGAAUGCAGCUCUAAGUGGGUGGUAAAUUCCAUCUAAAGCUAAAUAUUGGCGAGAGACCGAUAGCGAACAAGUACAGUGAUGGAAAGAUGAAAAGAACUUUGAAAAGAGAGUGAAAAAGUACGUGAAAUUGUUGAAAGGGAAGGGCUUGAGAUCAGACUUGGUAUUUUGCAUUCCUUACCUUCGUGGUGGGGUUCCUUGCAGUUUACUGGGCCAGCAUCGGUUUGGAUGGUGGGAUAAUGACAUUGGAAUGUGGCUCUGCUUCGGUAGAGUGUUAUAGCCAGUGUUGAUACCGCCUGUCUAGACCGAGGACUGCGUCUUACUAGGAUGCGGCAUAAAUCUUAAC
rnacentral:rRNA from 1 species